UUCCAGAGUUCCCAUCAUUCUUAAAAUCCAGAAUUCCAUCUUGAACUUUACGUAUCCAUGAAAGAGGAUAUUUGAAACCAGUGAAAUUGCAUUGAGCAGAGUAAACGAAUAUGACCAAAUCUCGCAUUCCCAAAACGGAUGUAUGAUUGUCCACCAGAUGAAUGAAGCUCCCGGUCUCUUGACCACGAGUAGCGACGUCUCUGAAUCGAAAUGUGUCUGCGACGAUUUUCAACGCCGCAGUUGCACCCGAUGUAAAAACAAGCUCAUAUUCGUCCGGCGAUGCAUGAAAAUGAUCCAAUAACCUGUGCAACAAAAUUUCAAUUAAUUCUCCUAAGAACGAGAGUUUUGGUGUAUCCAUUUACAAAGAGAUUGCAACAUCGUUUCGGUUCAUCAAUGUUGCAAAUAUUUACGUUAUCUUUUUUGUCAAAAAAAAUUAAAAUUCAUGAAAAUAUCGUGGAA